rnacentral:rRNA from 1 species
GACGAACGCUGGCGGCGUGCUUAACACAUGCAAGUCGAACGGAAAGGCCCUGCUUUUGUGGGGUGCUCGAGUGGCGAACGGGUGAGUAACACGUGAGUAACCUGCCCUUGACUUUGGGAUAACUUCAGGAAACUGGGGCUAAUACCGGAUAGGAGCUCCUGUUGCAUGGUGGGGGUUGGAAAGUUUCGGCGGUUGGGGAUGGACUCGCGGCUUAUCAGCUUGUUGGUGGGGUAGUGGCUUACCAAGGCUUUGACGGGUAGCCGGCCUGAGAGGGUGACCGGCCACAUUGGGACUGCGAUACGGCCCAGACUCCUACGGGAGGCAGCAGUGGGGAAUAUUGCACAAUGGGCGGAAGCCUGAUGCAGCAACGCCGCGUGCGGGAUGACGGCCUUCGGGUUGUAAACCGCUUUCGCCUGUGACGAAGCGUGAGUGACGGUAAUGGGUAAAGAAGCACCGGCUAACUACGUG